GAGGAAUAUUGGACAAUGGGAGCAAUCCUGAUCCAGCAAUGCCGCGUGUGGGAUGACGGGGCUUUGCCUUGUAAACCACUGUCGGACGGGACGAGAAGAGGUAAGAACCUCUGGGACGGUACCGUCAAAGGAAGGAUCGGCUAACUACGUGCCAGCAGCCGCGGUAAUACGUAGGAUCCAAGCGUUGUCCGGAUUUACUGGGUAUAAAGGGUGCGUAGGCGGCUUUUUGCGUCAGAGGUGAAAUCCACGGGCUUAACCCGUGGGGUGCCUUUGAAACGGGAAGGCUUGAGUAUGACAGAGGCGGAUGGAAUUCCUGGUGUAGCAGUGAAAUGCGUAGAUAUCAGGAGGAACACCGGUGGCGAAGGCGGUCCGCUGGGUCAUAACUGACGCUGAGGCACGAAAGCGUGGGGAUCAAAC
rnacentral:rRNA from 1 species